ensembl:lncRNA
GAUGAAGUAGAGUGAUGAUAAUGUCUGCAGAGCUCAGAGCUUUAAUAAAAAAACCUCUAUCGCAUUCGUCUGCGGGCCCAUGCUCCAACGUAGUCGUCUGCGGGCCCAUGCUCCAACGUAGUCGUCUGCGGGCCCAUGCUCCAACGUGCUGAUCGACUCACCGUCGCCGCGGCGGAUCAUCUCGCGGUGGUGGAAACGGCCCUCGCCCCGGCGGGCAACUUGGUCGCCGUGGCGAACACUGCGUUCGCCGUGGCUGAUCAACUCGCUGUGGGGGAUUAACACCGCGGUCACCGUAGUCGUCUGCGUGCCCAUACUCUAACUUGCUGAUCGACUCGCCGUGCCUGUGCUGAAUGAACCCCCUCCCUCGCCGUGGCAGAUCACCUCGCUGUGGCGGACACCGCCGCGGUCGCGAUGGCGACACCGCCGCGGUCGCCGUGGCGGAUCAUCUCACGGUGGUGGACGCCGCCCUCGCCGUGGCGGACACUGCAUUCGCCGUGGCUGAUCAACUCGCUGUGGGGAUUAACCCGCGGUCACCUUAGUCGUCUGCGUGCCCAUACUCUUAACUUGCUGAUCGACUCGCCGUGCCUGUGCUGGAUCAACCCCCUCCCUCGCCGUGGCAGAUCAACUCGCUGUGGCUGACAACGCCGCGGUCGCGAUGGCGACACCGCCGCGGUCGCGAUGGCGACACCGCCGCGGUGGCCGUCGCAGAUCAUCUCACGGUGGUGGACGCCGCCCUCGCCGUGGCGGACAACGUCUUCGCCGUGGCGAGCACCGCGUUCACCGUGGCAGAUCAACUCGCUGUUGCCGACACCGAGGUUGCGAUGGCGGAGACCGCGGCGGAUCAUCUCGCGGUAGUGGACACCGCCCUCGCCGUGGUGAUUUAACGCCGUCACUCGCCGUGGCGGAUCAUCUCGCCGUGGUAGAUUAACAUCGACUCCGAGGUGGACUCUUUCACGGACAGACUGCGGAAAACUUUUGGUUCAGUCUCAGCUGCUCUUUUCAUAUAUUCUCCUUAUUUUUAAACAGAUCAGAAGUUUCUGGCACCACUUCAGGUCCUUUCUUGGAGACGAGCAUAAGAUGGUCAUAACAAUAAUGUUCUUUGCUUCAGGAUUCUGUGUGUUGAUUUCACCCACCGCCUAUUUAUUAAUAAGUCAUUUUAAUAAUAUUGUUGAAAACAGCUCCAACUUUAAGAAAGAGGUAAGUCUAGUUUUAUAGAAGAGAGAGAUUCUCUCUGUCAGGUGAAUAUCUACAAAUAUACAAACACAUUAAAUCUGAGUCUGUAGAUGACAGUCAGCAAUGCAGCCCCAUUUAAAAACAUUAAGAACAAAUUAAAGUGUGAAUCAGCGACUGCUGCUGUGUGAACUUUUAAUGUGACUCUUUCCUUACUUGUGUAAAAUAUCUGAAUGAUCAGUCAUUACUGCUUUUCUUGAAACCUCAACACAGAAAAAGAAUAAAAGCCACAUGAUGUGAAAUCCAUCA